UACGGAGGGGGCGAGCGUUAUUCGGAAUUAUUGGGCGUAAAGGGCGCGUAGGCGGCCUUGUAAGUCAAAGGUGAAAUCCCUCGGCUCAACCGAGGAAUUGCCUUUGAAACUGCGAGGCUUGAGUCCGGGAGAGGGUAGCGGAAUUCCCAGUGUAGCGGUGAAAUGCGUAGAUACUGGGAGGAACACCAGUGGCGAAGGCGGCUACCUGGACCGGAACUGACGCUGAGGCGCGAAAGCGUGGGGAGCAAACAGGG
rnacentral:rRNA from 1 species